rnacentral:tRNA from 1 species
CAGAAAGUAGUUAAUUUAUAAUAUUAAUUUUGGGGAUUAAAGAAAAAUGUAAUUCAUUUCUUUCUGA